GAAGCACGCCAGACCGCCGCUGGUGCUAGUGCCGAAAGGCCGCACUGGAGGAAUGUCCGGACUGCACAGGACAGCGUAGCAGCUAACGGCUGCCCACCGUGAGGUGAGGAUCAGAGCAACAGAGACGAGUCCCGGGGGAGUGCUUGCGAAGGUAGACCACUGGGGGUGAAACGGGCAAUCUCUACGCGCAGCAACACCAAGUAGGCCAGCGUUGACGUGGUUCCGCGGAGCUGGCGGGUAGGUGGCAUCGAGCCGUGGUGGCGACACCCGGCCCAGAGUAAUGGCGGUCACGUGCGGGCAACCGCAUGCACAGAAUCCGGCUUAUCGGCGCGCUUCACAC
rnacentral:RNase_P_RNA from 3 species